GCUCAUUAUAUAAGUUAUCGUUUAUUUGAUAGUACCUUACUACUUGGAUAACCGUGGUAAUUCUAGAGCUAAUACAUGCUAAAAAUCCCGACUUCGGAAGGGAUGUAUUUAUUAGAUUAAAAACCAAUGCCCUCUGGGCUCUCUGGUGAUUCAUGAUAACUUCUCGAAUCGCAUGGCCUUGCGCCGGCGAUGGUUCAUUCAAAUUUCUUCCCUAUCAACUUUCGAUGUUUGGGUAUUGGCCAAACAUGGUCGCAACGGGUAACGGAGGGUUAGGGCUCGACCCCGGAGAAGGAGCCUGAGAAACGGCUACUACAUCCAAGGAAGGCAGCAGGCGCGCAAAUUACCCAAUCCCGACACGGGGAGGUAGUGACAAUAAAUACUGAUACAGGGCUCUUUCGGGUCUUGUAAUUGGAAUGAGUACAAUUUAAAUCCCUUAACGAGGAACAAUUGGAGGGCAAGUCUGGUGCCAGCAGCCG
rnacentral:rRNA from 1 species